rnacentral:rRNA from 1 species
UAGUAGGUGGGGUAACGGCUCACCUAGGCGACGAUCCCUAGCUGGUCUGAGAGGAUGACCAGCCACACUGGAACUGAGACACGGUCCAGACUCCUACGGGAGGCAGCAGUGGGGAAUAUUGCACAAUGGGCGCAAGCCUGAUGCAGCCAUGCCGCGUGUAUGAAGAAGGCCUUCGGGUUGUAAAGUACUUUCAGCGGGGAGGAAGGGAGUAAAGUUAAUACCUUUGCUCAUUGACGUUACCCGCAGAAGAAGCACCGGCUAACUCCGUGCCAGCAGCCGCGGUAAUACGGAGGGUGCAAGCGUUAAUCGGAAUUACUGGGCGUAAAGCGCACGCAGGCGGUUUGUUAAGUCAGAUGUGAAAUCCCCGGGCUCAACCUGGGAACUGCAUCUGAUACUGGCAAGCUUGAGUCUCGUAGAGGGGGGUAGAAUUCCAAGUGUAGCAGUGAAAUGCGUAGAGAUUUGGAGGAAUACCGAUGGCGAAGGCAGCCCCCUGGGAUAACACUGACGCUCAGGCACGAAAGCGUGGGUAGCAAACAGGAUUAGAUACCCUGGUAGUCCACACCGUAAACGAUGUUUACUU